GCUCCAUGGUCACCCUCUACUACCCCUCUAACAGAGCCCCUCUGCUGGGUUUGCCUGGCCCAGCUGAACCGGAGCACGGCAGAGGCCUUCCAGAGAUACGCAGCCCUCUCCAAGCUACUGGAUCACCAUCAACGAGCCCAACAGACUGAUGGAUGCCUACAAGAGUGGAGAGGAGCAGCAUCUGGCAGCCCAUAGCCUCCUGCUGGCCCACACUAAGGCCUGGAGGCUCUAUGAGAGGGAGUAUCUCAGCCAACUGGGUAGAACCCACCAACCCCUUCCUGGAGUCACAUGCAACCCCCACUCAGAGAUUCCUGUUGUUUUUUAAAAUUUAUUUUACCUUUAUUUAACUAGGCAAGUCAGUUAAGAACAAAUUCUUAUUUUCAAUGACAGGCUAGGAACAGUGGGUUAACUGCCUUGUUCAGGGGCAGAACGACAGAUUUUUACCUUGUCAGUUCGGGGAUUCAAUCUUGCAACCUUUCAGUUACUAGUCCAACGCUCUAACCACUAGGCUAGACCCACUACUAGGGGGCAGAGAGGGGGAGGGCAAGAGUGGUAAGCACCCUCCAGACAUGAGGAGGUACUUGGAGGAGAGGGCGAGGUAGAUGGGCCUCCUUGGAUCCCUACUACCGCACUUCACCGACCGGGAAAGAGAAGAGCUAUGAGGGGCGCUGGGCUUCAUCGCACUGAACCACUUCAGCAUGCGUCUCUUGUCACCAUGCCCCCAUUCUCAUCAAACUACCCCACCUAACCUCCAGCAACCUCCAGACCAUGACUGCCUGCUGAUGUCUGACCCCACCUGGGCCUCCUCUGUCCUGGGGCAGGCGAUGGUCCCCUGGGGCCUCUUGAGGGUGCUGCGCUGGGUGAAGGAGCGGUAUGGAGGGGGCCUGCCGGUUGAAGUCACAGCCGGCGGGGUGUGGAUCUGCUCAGGCAGCACUACAUCAAGAGCUACCUGCAGGAGGCCCUCAGAGCUCGUCAGUUGGAUGGAGUCAACAUAAAGGGCUUCUACAUCUGGAAGCUGCAGGAUCGACACGUCCCUCAGUUCGGCCUCUUCACCUCUUUCCACCACCAGUCCCAACCCAAAGCCUCCAUCGCAGCCUACCGAGAGAUCAUUGACUGCAGUGGUUUCCCUGGCAACAACAUCACAUCUUCCUGUAGGGUCAGCAACCGCCGGACGCUGUGUUCCAUCUGCGCUCGCAUCUCAGCAAACAAACCCCUGCUGUUCUUCGCUGCAUGUCUCCUCAUCACGCUAGCUGUGCUGGUGGCAGUUAUCAUCGUCAGGAGGAAGAGGACUAGGAGGAGGGGGUGCCGGUGUGUCCUGUCCCAUUGGGGAUGAAGUGUCAGCUGUGGGAGAGUGGCCCUGCAGCAUGUGACGGAUAGAAUCCGAGUGGUCAGCUGCUAGGUGUUUGGUUCUGUUGUAAUGGUUCUUAGGGACAGGUCUAGGAUCAGCUUACCCUCCCGAAAUCCUAACCUUGAACUGAGAGGAAAAACACAAAACUGACUGUAGAGCAGUGUCUAGGGGGCACCUUCAUUUUAAUCCACAAACCCACUGGGAUUGUGCUCAACACAGCGGGAUCAGCGAGGGCCAAGGGGUCAUCUUUACCAAUACCAAGUGACUAAUAGAGUCUCUGUCUGAGCCCUAGAGAUCCCACAUAUUGAAAAACAAUGUAUCUCCAAUGAAUACAAUUGACAGUUUAUAGUCUAUAAACUAUCACAAACAUUUGUAUUUGUAUUUAUUUUGGAUCCUCAUGCAGCCAAGGCAGCAGCUAUCUUCCUGAGGUCCAGCUAAAUUAAGGCAGUUUCUAACAUUUGAAAAACAUUACAAUACAUUCACAGAUUUCACAACACACUGUGUGCCCUCAGGCCCCUACUCCACCACUACCACAUAUUUACAGUACAAAAUCCAUUUGUGUAUAGUGCAUAUGUUAUCGUGUGUGUGUGUAUGCAUGUGUCUGGACCUAUGUUUGUGUUGCCUCACAGUCCCAGAUGUUCCAUAAGGUGUAUUUUAUAUAUUUUUUCAUUAAAUUGUACGGCUUGCAUCAGUUACUUGAUGUGGAAUAGAGUUCCAUGUAGUCAUGGUUCUAUGUAGUUAGUACUGUACGCCUCCCAUAGUCUGUUCUGGACUUGGGGACUAUGAAGAGACCUCUUGUGGCAUGUCUUGUGGGGUAUGCAUAGGUGUCCGAGCUGUGCUCCAGUAGUUCAAACAGACAAAUCGGUGCAUUCAACAUGUCAAUGCCUCUCAUAAAUACAAGUAGUGAUGUAGUCAAUCUAUUGACCACUUUGAGCAAAGAGAGAUUGACAUGCAUAUUAUUAAUAUUAGCUCUCUGUGUACAUCCAAGUGCUAGCCGUGCUGCCCUGUUCUGUGCCAAUUGCAAUUUUCCUAAGUUCCUUUUUGUGGCACCUGGCCACACGACUGAACAGUAGUCCAGGUGCGACAAAACUAGGGCCUGUAGGACCUGCCUUGUUGAUAGGGCUGUUAAGAAGGUAGAGCAGCGCUUUAUUAUGGACUUUUUUAUUCUCCCCAUCUUAGCUACUGUUGUAUCAAUAUGUUUUGACCAUGACAGUUUACAAUCCAGGUUUACUCCAAGCAGUUUGGUCACUUCAACUUGCUCAAUUUCCACAUUAUUUGUUACAAAAUUUAGUUGAGUUUUUUAUUUAUUUAUUUAUUUCACCUUUAUUUAACCAGGUAGGCAAGUUGAGAACAAGUUCUCAUUUACAAUUGCAACCUGGCCAAGAUAAAGCAAGCAGUUUGACACAUACAACAACACAGAGUUACACAUGGAGUAAAACAAACAUACAGUCAAUAAUAUAGUAGAAAGAUAAGUCUAUGUACAAAGUGAGCAAAUGAGGUGAGAUAAGGGAGGUAAAGGCAAAAAAGGCCAUGGUGGCAAAGUAAAUACAAUAUAGCAAGUAAAACACUGG
ensembl:lncRNA